rnacentral:misc_RNA from 1 species
GAAAUGCGAUAAGUAAUGUGAAUUGCAGAAUUCAGUGAAUCAUCGAAUCUUUGAACGCACAUUGCGCCCGGCAGCAAUCUGCCGGGCAUGCCUGUCCGAGCGUCAUUUCUGCCCUCGAGCGCGGUUCGGCCCCUAGCGGGCCGGCCGCCGCCCGGUGUUGGGGCGCUGCGGGCCCUCGUGCCCGCAGGCCCUGAAAUGAAGUGGCGGUCCCGCCGCGGCGCCCCCUGCGUAGUAGUAAAGCACCUCGCAUCGGGUCCCGGCGGAGGCCAGCCGUCGAACCUCUCUUUUGAUGGUUUGACCUCGGAUCAGGUAGGGUUACCCGCUGAACUUGAGC